AUCUUUGCCACUUGAAUUGGUUUCGGACAGACUUUUCUGCUGUCCGGAUUAAAAGGGAAUCGGGUGUAAAUCCCGGACAGUCCCGCUGCUGUGAAGCUCUGUUAAAAUCUUGGAAAGAACCUUUGCCACUGAUACUGUGUUUAUAUAUCGGGAAGGCCUCAAGAUCUGGAGUCAGUCAGAAGACCUGCCAUUCGUUAAAGUCUGCC
rnacentral:ncRNA from 2 species